AUUUUUGCAACAGUGCUUGCGACCCUUGGUCAAACUGUCGCAAGAUUUUGCUUUGAAAAGUGCCAAAUCACUUGCAUAAAAAAAAAUUCACACUGUUGAUAAAUCCAUAAAACACUCUCGCCACUCUCUUCAUCGUUCGAGAAGCGUAUGAGUUCUUCAAUCUUUUCUCCCUCUCCAAUCUCUUUACCUUAAAUCCCUAAAUCACUCGAUCUCUCCAAUCCCUUUAUCAUUCCCUAAAUCCUCAUGACCCGUUGAGCAUAAAGAAGAAGCGAGAACCCUAGACGGCUGAACCCGACUGCCACCGUACCAGACCUUCUCCUCCUCACACUCCGGUGCUCCGCCGUUCUACCGGAGCUCGACUGCUCAGUUUAUCCGUCUCUGGGUUAUUUUGGGUUUGUUUUGAUGUUUUGUAUUCAUUAUUAGAGUAAACUUCAUUUUGGUUUUUAAUCUACUGUAACAAUGUUAUAUGACCCAAUGAUUCUUAUUCAUUUUGUUGUGUUUAAUCUAGAAUUUGUUUGACAUUUGUUGCUGUUUUAGUAUUCUGGGAUUGAGUAUAUUAAAAAUGGGAUCCAGGUGAUUGUUUGAGUAGAAAUGGUAACCAGCAGCUGUUACUUUCUUUUUGGGUGUUUUUUUAUCCCUGUAUCUGUUUCUUCUAGUGUCUGCUGGUUCCAACUGUGUGCAUUUUGUUAGCCUUGCAGUGCUUCUGCUAAGAGGCACAUUGUAUCUGUUGCGGCUGUUUUUUGUUUGCUUAAAAAGUCUGUGGGAAUCUGGUUUAUCUUGUUUUUCAAACGUCGUUAUUGUUAGCUUAUUUAUUUUAGUUGUUCAAGAGUUUUUAACAUGAUAAUUUGAUUAUCUAGUUUUAUUUGAAAUUUGGUAUAGGGGUUGUAAUCCCACCAGGUAAUGAGGAUCUGUGAUGUUGCGCUCUCGGCUCUUCUAAAUCGAGAAUAAGGUCUGCUAAUUAGAUAUAGAAGUAUAGAUCUUUUAGUUUUAUCUGAAACUGUAUUGGUGUGUGUGUGUGUGUAUGUGUGUUUCUAGAUUUGAUCUUUGAUUUAAAUUGUGAUUCUCUAUUCAAAAUCAAAUAUCAAAAGAGAGGUAAAAUUAAGUUGUUACCAGGGAGCAUAACAAUGUUUGAAUUGAAUAGUUUUCAGCAUGUAUAAUUUCUCUAUGUUAAGUUUGGAUAGGUACAAGAAACAAGACGGUGGCAGGUCUUGUCUUCCUCGCGGUUCCAAGGUGAAGGAUGAGAAGCCAACCAACUGGUAGUUUGCAGAAUCUGUUCAGAUGAAGGGGAAACCAAUCACACAUACGACAAAUUGCUAUGGUUAGGUAGAAUUUGUAAAUUUCCAUCUCCUUUUAACACUUACAUUAAAUAAUGCUCUAUUACAUCAUCGUUGUUGGAAUUUUUGCUCCUCGGAUUCUGAAUGGGCCGUGUUAUGUUGUGCGUGUUAUCUACGUGAUGGUAUACCAUUUGCUAGGUAUUUUUCCUCUACAAUCUGGGCGGGGCUGAAACUGUACUUUAAUAAAGUUCAGUAAAACUCACGAUGGCUCAUUCGAACGGGUGAAAGAGCUCGCUUCUGGACCGAUAAUUGGCUGGGAACUUCUCUUACCGAGAGACUGCAGCUGCCACAGCAACUCUGGCCGCGCCUAACAGCUCCGUCCGCUUCAUAUAUACAUAACGGUGCAUGGCGCAUACCAGACUGCAUUCAGGAAAUUGAUUCAUCUGUCGUGCAGCAAAUACAGCGUGUCAUUUUACCGGUUGCUGCACUUCCAGAUCGACUGAUAUGGUGUAAUUCCAAAGACGGGCAACUUUCUACUAAGCAAGCAACGCUGCAUCUGUCAACAACUGUGACAGUACCGUGGGCUGUUUGGUUAUGGAAGAAAUCAAUCCGACCUUCGAAUUCCUUUGUGUUUCUUAUCAUUUGUAUUCUAUUAUGGCUGCUGCAAUAGUAACCUCAUGCUAUCAUUACAGUCAUGAAGUUUAUGUAACUAGGAUCUCGUCCAGAUACCUUUCUACACUGCAGAAUCAGAAAGAGCAGGAAAUUGCCGCUACGCAAGGAGGUCGCUCGCACCUUCGUCGACAACGUCAAGAAGCUGAAGUGGAUAAUUAAAUUGGUGACAUGGAAGGAUAGGGAAGCUGGAGUGAAAAUGGCGACUUCACCAUAUGAGGAGUCACGGAGCAAAAUAAUAGAAGAGAAUGCUAAAAGGAUGGAAUCAUUCUUAUGAGUUUAUACAAAUGCAUUUUUAUCAUACAAAUGCAUUUUUCUUAUGGGUGUAUCAUAAUUUUGAUUUCAUCUGUUAUUAAUGUAGGAGAGGGCACGAUAAAUGUAGCAUAUCGGGGAAAGCCAAUGAUGAAUUAUUCACUUGAAACUGAGUUGAUUGCAAGGACUCAAAUUAUGUACUUUGGAUGCUGAAAUUGGUGCUCUUAUAUUCUGUUUCUGAAGUCUGAAUGCGAACCCUCUGCGAGACCACCGUGAGGCAACGCGAAAGGUGUUUGCUACCACAGCAUCACUAUCAUCAAUCAAUGGCUCCAGGUAACCUAAUAAGAAGAGUCAAGAAGAUGGUAGCACUAAUUAAGGAUUAUGAAGCAACAUCAAUAACUAGGAAAUGUUUAGAUAUUUUAAGAACUUAUUUUGCCAUAAUGUUUUGUAUAUUUAACCACUAUAGUAAUGUUUAUG